rnacentral:rRNA from 2 species
GCCGUAAAACCCCCAAUUUUUUCUGGUUGACCUCGGAUCAGGUAGGAAUACCCG